AAGCGUGCGCAGGCGGUUAUGCAAGACAGAGGUGAAAUCCCCGGGCUCAACCUGGGAACUGCCUUUGUGACUGCAUAGCUAGAGUACGGUAGAGGGGGAUGGAAUUCCGCGUGUAGCAGUGAAAUGCGUAGAUAUGCGGAGGAACACCGAUGGCGAAGGCAAUCCCCUGGACCUGUACUGACGCUCAUGCACGAAAGCGUGGGGAGCAAACAGGAUUAGAUACCCGUAGU
rnacentral:rRNA from 1 species